rnacentral:rRNA from 1 species
UCAUUAGUUUUUUAAUUAAAGGCUUGUAUGAAUGGCUGGACAAAGAAUAAUCUGUUUCUAUUUUUAGUUUUGAAUUUAACUUUUAAGUGAAAAGGCUUAAAUAAUUUUAAGGGACGAUAAGACCCUAUAAAUCUUUAUACUAAUUUAUUUUUUAAUUGAUUAAUACUGUAAAUAUAAUAGUAAAAUAAUGUGUAUUGUGUUGGGGUGAUGAGAAUAUAACAAAUAACUGUUCUAAAAUUAAAACAAAAUUAUUUGUAAUAAUAAUAGAUCCUUUAUUGAGAUUAAAAGUUUAAGUUACUUUAGGGAUAACAGCGUUAUUUUUUUUGAGAGUUCUUAUCGAAAAAAAAGUUUGCGACCUCGAUGUUGAAUUAAAAUUUCUUUGUGGUGCAGCUAUUACAAAAGAGAGUCUGUUCGACUUUUAAAUUUUU